UACGUAGGGUGCGAGCGUUAAUCGGAAUUACUGGGCGUAAAGCGUGCGCAGGCGGUUGGUUAAGUCUGAUGUGAAAGCCCCGGGCUCAACCUGGGAAUGGCAUUGGAAACUGGCUGGCUAGAGUGUGGCAGAGGGGGGGUGGAAUUCCGCGUGUAGCAGUGAAAUGCGUAGAGAUGCGGAGGAACACCGAUGGCGAAGGCAGGUCUCUGGGGCACUUACUGACGCUGAGGAGCGAAAAGCGUGGGGAGCAAACAGG
rnacentral:rRNA from 1 species